GGGUCGAUGGCGUAGCUGGUUAUCGCAUCUGUCUAACAUCUUGUACUCUCAAGUCACGAUGUGCACAGAAGGUCCUCAGUUCGAACCUGGGUCGACUCA